AAAUGGUAGCUCCAAAAAUAUACAUCCAUAUACUACUUCUUGGAACCUGUGAAUAUUGCCUUAUCAGAAAAAGGAUCUUUUCAGAUGUAACUAAGAAUUUUGAGAAAAAGAUUAUCAUCCUGGAUGGGUCCUAAAUCCAAUGACACAUGUCCUUCUAAGAGCAAAGUAUAGAGAGAUUUGAGACUGAAGUGGGCAGAGGACAAGGCCAUGUGAGAAUAAAGGCAAAGACUGGAGUAAGGCAACCCCAAGCUGAAAGAGAUACCAAAAAGGUCAGUGAUUCUCAAGCAAACAGCUCCCUCCACUGGCUCAACCAUCAUCAUAUGCUCUGAAGUCUCAAGUCCCUUGAAUUCCCCUCCUACCAAGUUUGCAUAUAGACCACAGAAUGCUAGGGCUGCUUGAGAAUUGAGAAACACCGAAUUAAAAAAGGUUCUACAGCCAGCAUGGAGCUGAAUGCAGUGCUUGAACUCACAACCUUGCAAUAAAUACCUGCGCUGAGAUCAAGAGUUGGACACUCAACAAACUUACUGUAUUGUAUUGCAUUCUGCCUCCAACUUCACUGCCUACAUUUUCUUUGACUGGCCUUCUUUGAUCACUUCCUAUGGCAGAUUUUUAGUAUCACCCCCACUUCUCCAUUUAAGUUGGAAUGUUCUUUGCAGCUGAAAUGUACACACCAGUAACACACAUUUUGCCAGAGUUGGAAAAAAAAUAAGAAGGUUAAAUCUCACUCUUGAAAGUCCUUCAAAGAAAGGAAAGUUGUGGUGACAAUGUUGACCUUUGCCUGAGACCUAUGCUUGGAAACCAGAAAAGGUUAAGACACCCUCCCAAUCAUCUGUGUUCAGAGAAACUGAAAAAGACUACCCUUCCCAUGCAUAUGGGAUCUUCAUAAGGCAAAUGAAACCUGCAACUGUCCUGACAGGACCUCCAGCCAUCCCAGACCACCCAGACCAGUUUGAGCUUAACCCCCGACUGGCACCUGCACAGACCAUGGAGUGACAUCUGGAAUGACCAACAAUUCCCUCUUCCUCAUUAUAAUAAUAAAAUCUCUAUCCAAGGA